CACGUAGUUAGCCGGGGCUUCUUAGUCAGGUACCGUCAUUUUCUUCCCUGCUGAUAGAGCUUUACAUACCGAAAUACUUCCUCACUCACGCGGCGUCGCUGCAUCAGGGUUUCCCCCAUUGUGCAAUAUUCCCCACUGCUGCCUCCCGUAGGAGUUUGGGCCGUGUCUCAGUCCCAAUGUGGCCGGUCGCCCUCUCAGGUCGGCUACUGAUCGUCGGCUUGGUAGGCUUCUACCCCACCAACUACCUAAUCAGACGCGGGCCCAUCUUACACCACCUCAGUUUUUACCACUGUACCAUGCAGUACCGUGGUCUUAUGCGGUAUUAGCAAUCAUUUCUAAUUGUUAUCCCCCUGUGUAAGGCAGGUUGCCCACGCGUUACUCACCCGUCCGCCGCUAAGUCACCCUCUCUUCCCUCCGAAGAGUUCUAAAAAGUGCUUCGCUCGACUUGCAUGUGUUAAGCACGCCGCCAGCGUUCAUCCUGAGCCAGGAUCAAACUCU
rnacentral:rRNA from 1 species